GGCCCGGUGGCGGAAGCGUCGACGCGGCAGUGGUGCAUCACUGUUUAUCCUGGUUCAAAUCCAGGCCGGGCCUCCA
rnacentral:tRNA from 1 species